GCCAGUGUGGUAUAGUGGUUUGACUAUUGGACUAUGAUUCUGGGGACCAGGGUUCAAAUUCCUGCUCAGCCA